rnacentral:rRNA from 1 species
UACGAAGGGGGGCUAGCGUUGUUUCGGAAUUACUGGGCGUAAAGCGCACGUAGGCGGAUUGUUAAGUCAGAGGUGAAAUCCCGGAGCUCAACUUCGGAACUGCCUUUGAUACUGGCAAUCUCGAGUCCGGAAGAGGUUAGUGGAAUUCCCAGUGUAGAGGUGAAAAUUCGUAGAUAUUGGGAAGAACACCAGUGGCGAAGGCGGCUAACUGGUCCGGUACUGACGCUGAGGUGCGAAAGCGUGGGGAGCAAACAGG